rnacentral:rRNA from 1 species
AGUGAACGCUGGCGGUAGGCCUAACACAUGCAAGUCGAACGGCAGCACAGUAAGAGCUUGCUCUUACGGGUGGCGAGUGGCGGACGGGUGAGGAAUACAUCGGAAUCUACUUUUUCGUGGGGGAUAACGUAGGGAAACUUACGCUAAUACCGCAUACGACCUACGGGUGAAGGCAGGGGAUCUUCGGACCUUGCGCGAUUGAAUGAGCCGAUGUCGGAUUAGCUAGUUGGCGGGGUAAAGGCCCACCAAGGCGACGAUCCGUAGCUGGUCUGAGAGGAUGAUCAGCCACACGGGAACUGAGCCACGGUCCAGACUCCUACGGGAGGCAGCAGUGGGGAAUAUUGGACAAUGGGCGCAAGCCUGAUCCAGCCAUACCGCGUGGGUGAAGAAGGCCUUCGGGUUGUAAAGCCCUUUUGUUGGGAAAGAAAAGCAGCAGGUUAAUACCCCGCUGUUCUGACGGUACCCAAAGAAUAAGCACCGGCUAACUUCGUG